GUAAACUAUGAUUUUUAUUGUUAUGAAACUGUCAAAAUCGAAAUAUCCUUGAUUUCUGGUGCCAAGCUUUUGUUGUGAUCAAAUAAACAUUUAAGACGAAAUAUAUGGCUGCCAAGAUAUACUGUUGGUGCUGGAAAAUCUACUUCAAACCUGUACAAGGAUGUACUGACGUCUCACCGUUGAUCAACUAAUUUCUGCGGCUAUUGUCCUACAGGCUAACAGAUUAAUUAGUAAUAGCCCGCCGAGUUUUUGUUUUGGAACACGCAGAACGUUCAAGCACUAUUGAUAUGAAUAAUGAUGGUCGCCUUAAUGUUACUGGAUAAAACAUUGGGUUGGAAAUAUUCUUUUUGGAGAGAUUAUGCGAGGCAGAAACGGGUGAUUCCUUGGGCGAUUCCAACAUAAACUAUUUAGACUCUUCGUGCUAAUCCGAAGUUCGGCAAUAUCU